UCAACUUCUUUCCCUAUUCGACACGGGCCACGAUUCUUCCUGAAGCUUUGGUAGACCACAGAAGAAAUGAAGACAAUGCCGGUAAAUUCACCAACAAGACCGUAUAUACUCUUGCAAUGUGGGAUUUUUGAGCAUUGGCGAAGGACGUGAGGAUGGAAAAGGACACAUAACUACAACAGAACUAGUGCUCACUGAACAACUCACGGAACAAGUACGGUGCCUAUGAACAAAACCACAGCUCUACGCUCUCCUAUACUCAAAACCCGACGUGACCCCAGACAUGUCGUGGGGGGGAGGGGAGAGGGAGAGGGGCGUGAGAACAGACAAGACUGCGACACAUCUCAAUCUACGGGCGCUACCUCUGAGUGCACUCUUUGCUCACCUCACUCUUUCCGAGCACCUUGUCGAGACUUGGCGUUCCCAGAAACUACGAUCCAAUGCAUACCUCAUAAUCUUGAUCUGGUAAGGAAGAAGCCAACAUCAAUCCAAGGGUGAAUAAGGAAUCCUCCCCAUUUUCCAAAAAUAAAGAGAACACAUACUA